CCAGUUUAUGGCCAGAUUUUGGGGGGCCUGUUCCCAACAAUGGGGAUCUUGGAGAAACUCGAGGGAAGGUACAUGAUGUGUUGACCUUCACUUAAUCAGUUUGAAUAUGUCAUCCCACUGCCUUUGGCCUUCAUAGCUUCUGGCCCAGGAAAGGGAAGAAUUACAUGAAGACACAUGGAGAGGGGAGCCAAGGGGAGAGGUUCAGAAGAAACAAAGCCUGCUGAUAUCUUGAUCUUGGGGUCUAACCUCCAGAACGGUGAUGAAAUGUCUGUUAUUUAAGCCAUUCGGUCUGUGGUAUUGGUGACAACAGUCUAAGCAGACUAAUGCAAGCCCUGACACAGACUUUAUGCAAUUUAAUUCUCUUUUCUCAGUCAUGAUUUUCUCCUCUGUAAUAAGCUCUAAUUAUCAGUGAUGAAAAUUAAAUGUGUAAAUGUGUACAUUAUUGUUUAAAGACAAGUAAAGAAAACCAACACCCUUGUUUUUGUUUAACGGAUCUACCUAUUUUUAGGAAAUG
rnacentral:lncRNA from 1 species